rnacentral:ncRNA from 1 species
AUGUUAGGGUAUUGGCCUAACAUGGCUAUGACGGGUAACGGGGAAUUAGAGUUCGAUUCCGGAGAGGGAGCCUGAGAAAUAGCUACCACAUCUAAGGAAGGCAGCAGGCGUUUUUUUUUUUUUUUUUUUUUUUUUUUUUUUUUUUUUUUUUUUUUUUUUUUUUUUUUUUUUUUUUUUUUUUCGACUGAUAUAUUUUUCUUUUGAAAGUACCGGAAAACUUGGAAACGAAGGGAAUGAGCGCUAAAUAAACCUUUAAACUUUGUUCUCGAGAAAAUAUUACUUUUAUUUCAAAAAGUAUUUUAUACCGCUCUACCGGUUAAACGAACAUGGUGCAAUCGCCGUCGUGAGAUUUGCGUCUACAAGGUGGCGACGCGAUUACAGCGAAGGCUACAGCGACGGUUAAAGCGACGGUUACAGCGAAGGCCACAGCGAAUGUUACAGCGAAGGCCACAGCGAAUGUUACAGCGAAGGCCACAGCGAAUGUUACAGCGAACGCUA